UACGAAGGGGGGCUAGCGUUGUUCGGAAUCACUGGGCGUAAAGGGCGCGUAGGCGGCUUUGUAAGUCGGGGGGUGAAAGCCUGUGGCUCAACCACAGAAUUGCCUUCGAUACUGCAUGGCUUGAGACCGGAAGAGGUAAGUGGAACUGCGAGUGUAGAGGUGAAAUUCGUAGAUAUUCGCAAGAACACCAGUGGCGAAGGCGGCUUACUGGUCCGGUUCUGACGCUGAGGCGCGAAAGCGUGGGGAGCAAACAGG
rnacentral:rRNA from 1 species